AAACAAGAAGCAAUAAAUUGCAUUUAAUUUCGACCUAAAAGACAGGCCACCACCGCCCUUGUUUU
rnacentral:tRNA from 1 species